rnacentral:rRNA from 1 species
UACGAAGGGGGCUAGCGUUGUUCGGAAUUACUGGGCGUAAAGGGCGCGUAGGCGGUCCUUCAAGUCAGGCGUGAAAUUCCGGGGCUCAACCCCGGAACUGCGUCCGAUACUGCGUGGCUAGAGGUAGGUAGGGGAGAUCGGAAUUCCUGGUGUAGCGGUGAAAUGCGCAGAUAUCAGGAGGAACACCGGUGGCGAAGGCGGAUCUCUGGGCCUUACCUGACGCUCAGGCGCGAAAGCUAGGGGAGCGAACAGG